rnacentral:rRNA from 1 species
UACGGAGGAUCCAAGCGUUAUCCGGAUUUAUUGGGUUUAAAGGGUGCGUAGGCGGCUUAUUAAGUCAGGGGUGAAAGACGGUGGCUCAACCAUCGCAGUGCCCUUGAUACUGAUGAGCUUGAAUACACUUGAGGUAGGCGGAAUGUGACAAGUAGCGGUGAAAUGCAUAGAUAUGUCACAGAACACCAAUUGCGAAGGCAGCUUACUAAGGUGCGAUUGACGCUGGGGCACGAAAGCGUGGGGAUCAAACAGG